GACGAACGCUGGCGGCGUGCUUAACACAUGCAAGUCGAACGGAAAGGCCCUGCUUUUGUGGGGUGCUCGAGUGGCGAACGGGUGAGUAACACGUGAGUAACCUGCCCUUGACUUUGGGAUAACUUCAGGAAACUGGGGCUAAUACCGGAUAGGAGCUCCUGCUGCAUGGUGGGGGUUGGAAAGUUUCGGCGGUUGGGGAUGGACUCGCGGCUUAUCAGCUUGUUGGUGGGGUAGUGGCUUACCAAGGCUUUGACGGGUAGCCGGCCUGAGAGGGUGACCGGCCACAUGGGGCCGCGGGACCGGCCCAGACGCCAUCGGGAGGAAGCAGUGGGAAGUUUUGCACAUUGGGCGGAAGCAGGAUGCACAAACGCCGGGUGGGGGAGGCCGUCCUUCGGGUUGUAACCGCUUUCGCCUGUGACGAAGCGUGAGUGACGGUAAUGGGUAAAGAAGCACCGGCUAACUACGUG
rnacentral:rRNA from 1 species